GAUGAACGCUGGCGGCGUGCCUAAUACAUGCAAGUCGAGCGAACAGACGAGGAGCUUGCUCCUCUGACGUUAGCGGCGGACGGGUGAGUAACACGUGGAUAACCUACCUAUAAGACUGGGAUCACUUCGGGAAACCGGAGCUAAUACCGGAUAAUAUAUUGAACCGCAUGGUUCAAUAGUGAAAGACGGUUUUGCUGUCUCUACUAGAUGGAUCCGCGCCGCAUUAGCUAGUUGGUAAGUUAACGGGUUACCAAGGCGACGAUGCGUAGCCGACCUGAGAGGGUGAUCGGCCACACGGGAACUGAGACACGGUCCAGACUCCUACGGGAGGCAGCAGUAGGGAAUGUGCCGCAAUGGGCGAAAGCCUGACGGAGCAACGCCGCGUGAGUGAUGAAGGUCUUCGGAUCGUAAAACUCUGUUAUUGGGGAAGAACAAAUGUGUAAGGAAAUAUGCACGGCUUGACGGUACCGAAUCAGAAAGCCACGGCUAACUACGUG
rnacentral:rRNA from 1 species